AUGAACGCCUCCUCGGCGCCGGGGUCGGAUGGACUGCCAGUCUCCUUUUUUAAAGCAUUCUGGCAGACCAUCAAACCUGAGAUCAUGGCUCUCUUUGACGAGUUUUUCUUAGGGACCAUGGAUCUUGGGCGCCUGAACUAUGGGGUAGUCACUCUUAUCCCCAAAGUUCCGGGUGCGACGGACAUCCGCCAAUUCCGACCCAUCACUGUGAUCAAUGUGAUUUUUCGGAUCCUGGCCAAAGGGUACGCCAAUAGGGUGACCCGGCUCGCCGACUCGAUCACCCACCCCAAUCAGUCGGCUUUCAUUCAGGGCCGAUUUAUCCUGGAUGGGGUGUUGGUCUUCCACAAGGUCCUUCACGAAGUCCGCUCCAAGCACCAACGGGCGGUAUUCCUGAAGCUUGAUUUCCAUAAAGCCUAUGAAACUGUGCACUGGCCCUUCCUUCGGGAAGUUUUACUCCGUAAGGGCUUUGAUGACCGUUGGGUGACCAGAGUUAUGCAGCUUGUCUCCUGCUGUCGGACCGCUAUUAACAUUAACGGUGAGAUCGGCCCCUUCUUCCCCACACUCUGUGGGGUCCGCCAGGGCGACCCUUUCUCGCCGUUCCUGUUUAACAUGGUGGCCGAUGCCCUCGCGGCCAUUCUUGACAAAGCCAAAUCGGCCGGCCACAUUCACGGCGUGGUCCUACAAGGGGGGGGGGGGCUCCCUCCUACAAUAUGCCGACGACACCAUAAUAAUGGUUGA
rnacentral:rRNA from 1 species